GGCGCAGCGUGUCGGCGCGCGCCCGACGCUGUCACGACGGCCGACCCCGACGCUAUCCCGCUGGUGGUCCAGAGCGGCCACCUGCCCGUGCCGCCAUGUCGUAACAUGAUGGGCUACAACAACCAGGGCCACGGCUACAACAAGUUGUUCACGCAGAUCCGAUCGACCAAUAUUCGGCCGAUAGCUUUACUUUGGUGACGUAGUGUGACCAUGAGGCAACGUAUUUGGAGAUUUUUGAAGACUAUCGGUAACCUGGUCAGCAAGACUCCGCGGCACCGGUCUAUGAAACACUACCAGCCCUUGGGCUCGGCAGAUUCCAACUACUCGCAGCCAUCCUCGGAGCUGUCGCUGGACGAAGACAAGGAGGCUCUGCGCCGCGAGAAGGAAGCGCAGGCUCUCUUACAGCUGGAUAAGGCCCGAUCGAAGCCGGUGGCGUUUGCAGUCCGCACAAACGUCGCGUACGAUGGCACGCUGGACGACGACUCGCCCGUGCACGGCAGCGCCAUCUCCUUCAACGAGCGCGACUUCCUGCACAUCAAGGAGAAGUACGACAACAACUGGUGGAUCGGGCGGCUGGUGAAGGAGGGCGAGGACGUGGGCUUCAUCCCGUCGCCCGUGAAGCUGGAGGCGGUGCGCACGGGGCUGCAGGCGCGCGGCCGCUACCAGCGCCCGCAGUCGGCCGGCCAGCCGCUCCCCAGCCGAGGUAGCACCCCUCCCACGCCCGAUGUACCCACGUUUGACCGAGGUGAGGAUUCAGAUUCAGCCGGUAGAGGUCGCGGCGCAGGGGCGUUACCUGCCAGUAAAGAAAAAAGAAAACCGUUUUUCAAAAAGCAGGAGGCUUGCACGCCGUACGACGUGGUGCCUUCGAUGCGACCCGUGGUCCUUGUGGGACCCUCGCUCAAAGGUUAUGAGGUCACAGACAUGAUGCAGAAGGCAUUGUUUGACUUUCUUAAGAGACGCUUUGAGGGCAGGAUCAUCAUCACCCGGGUGACCGCGGAUAUAUCGCUGGCGAAGCGCUCCUUGCUCAAUAACCCGCCAAAGAAACCUAUUAUGGACCGAACCAAUUCGAGAACCAAUUGCCUGGCCGAAGUGCAGACAGAAAUCGAGCGGAUAUUCGACCUGGCGCGGACGCUUCAGCUCGUGGUGCUGGACUGUGACACCAUCAACCACCCGUCGCAGCUGGCCAAGACCUCACUGGCGCCCACGAUUGUCUAUUUGAAGAUUUCUAGUCCAAAAGUGCUGCAGCGGCUGAUAAAGUCGCGCGGCAAGGGGCAGAGCAAGAACCUGUCGGUGCAGAUGGUGGCGGCGGAGAAGCUGGCGCAGUGCCCCAACGAGAUGUUCGACAUCGUGCUGGACGAGAACCAGCUGGAGGAGGCGUGCAGCCGCAUCGCUGAGCAUUUGGAGAAAUACUGGGCGGCGACGCAUCCCCCGGUGGUGGCGCCGAGCGCGCGUACGCCGCACGCGCCGCUGCCGCACGCGCAUCCGCACGCCGCUCCGCACCCGCACUCGCAGCAGGCGCAACCUGUACAAGCCUCUGGACAAGCGCAUUAGCCACGUCGAAGACCAUAAAUUCCAGUUACAUUUUAGCGGCAUCGGCGAAGCCCUUUCAGGUAGAGCACGAGUCCCACGACCGGAGAGACUGGAGGAGGAAUACUACCCGCGGGACCACUACCAGCGGUAUCCUCGCGACUACCCCC
rnacentral:misc_RNA from 1 species